GAUGAACGCUGGCGGCGUGCCUAAUACAUGCAAGUCGAGCGAACAGACGAGGAGCUUGCUCCUCUGACGUUAGCGGCGGACGGGUGAGUAACACGUGGAUAACCUACCUAUAAGACUGGGAUAACUUCGGGAAACCGGAGCUAAUACCGGAUAAUAUAUUGAACCGCAUGGUUCAAUAGUGAAAGACGGUUUUGCUGUCACUUAUAGAUGGAUCCGCGCCGCAUUAGCUAGUUGGUAAGGUAACGGCUUACCAAGGCAACGAUGCGUAGCCGACCUGAGAGGGUGAUCGGCCACACUGGAACUGAGACACGGUCCAGACUCCUACGGGAGGCAGCAGUAGGGAAUCUUCCGCAAAGGGCGAAAGCCUGACGGAGCAACGCCGCGUGAGUGAUGAAGGUCUUCGGAUCGUAAAACUCUGUUAUUAGGGAAAAACAAAUGUGUAAGUAACUAUGCACGUCUUGACGGUACCUAAUCAGAAAGCCACGGCUAACUACGUG
rnacentral:rRNA from 1 species